CCCUUUCUCUUUUUCUGAAGCAGCACUCUCUGUGACUCAGAUUCAGUGAUGUCCUCCAACACGCCACCGCAGGACCUUUCAACACUCAACACCUAAUGGAGUCAAUGGAAGUGGAACAUUCCAGCAGCAAGUGCUCAUAUGAGGAAGAAGAGAAGGAUAUCAUUCGAAGAAAGGCUCCCUGGAUGUUGUUCAAUUAUUACAAUGGAUCAUCAAAGAAAACAAUAACUGUGUUGAGCCCAUGGGCAUCUGGGUGGCUUAAUCGGUUA